rnacentral:lncRNA from 1 species
GUAUGGAAUAGGAAAUACCAAAUAAAUCAGCCAGUGAAUAAGGAUCCUAGGAAAACUAGCAGGAGCUCCUCCACCCAAGGCUGAACUGGAAGCCAAGAGUCUGAAAGACAGUUCCAAAUGCUAGGGUAAUAAUAUAGACUUUAAAGAGAACACGGAGAUGUGGGUAAUAAUGAAGUAACUCUGUUGCCAGGUCAACAGACAUGGAGCUUCUCUGUUCAGAUUCCCUUUCAACCUCAGGCUCAAAUCAUCCAUCACUGUGAACUUAGACUGAGUGAAAGAGGAGACGACAACCCGGAGAAUUUGUGGCUGUGGGAAGCCUCCUCUUACAACGCUUAAAAAUGAUGAAGACCCUGCUGUUGGUAGAGUGAAGAGAGGGCCUUCUUUGCGUGAAAAACCUAUCCAUCACAAUGGUUGGUUGGUCAGAUGUGAUUCUCUAUUACCGUUUAAUGUUGCAGCUAAUCUUCUCUCUUCUGCUCCUCAUCACAUUAGUGUCACGCAUGGUCUUCCAAAUUUGGAAACAACGUUGGACAACUUAACCUCAGGAGAUGAAAGAUUUUCAAACUUAGUGGACAUCUGCAACUUUCAGAAGAAGAGAACAAAUAAUGGACUAAAAGGGAAAAGGACAUGUACUUCAUUAUUGCCUCUUGGCAUUUAAUAGCUGGCUCUGGUU